AGAGUUUGAUCCUGGCUCAGGAUGAACGCUAGCGGCAGGCUUAACACAUGCAAGUCGAGGGGCAUCGCGGGUAGCAAUACCUGGCGGCGACCGGCGGAAGGGUGAGUAACGCGUGAGCAACAUGCCCUGUGGAGGGGGAUAGUCACUGGAAACGGUGCGUAAUACCCCGUAACAACAGGAGAGGCAUCUCUCCAGUUUAAAAGAUUCAUUGUCACAGGAUUGGCUCGCGUCUGAUUAGGUAGUUGGCGGGGUAACGGCCCACCAAGCCGACGAUCAGUAGGGGUUCUGAGAGGAAGGUCCCCCACAUUGGAACUGAGACACGGUCCAGACUCCUACGGGAGGCAGCAGUGAGGAAUAUUGGACAAUGGCCGUAAGGCUGAUCCAGCCAUGCCGCGUGAUGGAAUAAGGCCCUAUGGGUCGUAAACAUCUUUUGACGGGGAGCAAUAAGGGUUACGUGUAAUCCGAUGAGAGUACCUGUCGAAUAAGGCAUCGGCUAACUCCGGUGCCAGGCAGCCGCGGUAAUACGGGAGGGAUGCAAGCGUUAUCCGGAUUUAUUGGGUUUAAAGGGUGCGUAGGCGGGUGAAUAAGCGUGAGGUGAAAUGCCCUGGCUCAACCAGGGAACUGCCUCGCGAACUGUUCGUCUUGAAUGCUCCUGCCGUGGGAGGAAUGGGUAGUGUAGCGGUGAAAUGCAUAGAUAUUACCCAGAACACCGAUUGCGAAGGCAUCUCACGAAGGGGCAAUUGACGCUGAGGCACGAAAGCGUGGGGAUCGAACAGGAUUAGAUACCCUGGUAGUCCACGCAGUAAACGAUGAUGACUAACCGCCGGCGAUACAUUGAUCGGUGGCCAAGCGAAAGCGAUAAGUCAUCCACCUGGGGAGUACGACCGCAAGGUUGAAACUCAAAGGAAUUGACGGGGGCCCGCACAAGCGGAGGAACAUGUGGUUUAAUUCGAUGAUACGCGAGGAACCUUACCCGGGCUCGAACGGCAGAUGAAGAGAUCCAGAGAUGGUGACGCCCUUCGGGGCAUCUGUCGAGGUGCUGCAUGGUUGUCGUCAGCUCGUGCCGUGAGGUGUCGGCUCAAGUGCCAUAACGAGCGCAACCCUUGCCGUCAGUUACCAUCGCGUUAAGGCGGGGACUCUGGCGGGACUGCCACCGCAAGGUGAGAGGAAGGGGGGGAUGACGUCAAAUCAGCACGGCCCUUACGUCCGGGGCGACACACGUGUUACAAUGGCGGCCACAGAGGGGACCGACCUGGCGACAGGGAGGUAAUCCGAAAAAAGCCGCCUCAGUUCGGAUCGGAGUCUGCAACCCGACUCCGUGAAGCUGGAUUCGCUAGUAAUCGCGCAUCAGCCAUGGCGCGGUGAAUACGUUCCCGGGCCUUGCACACACCGCCCGUCA
rnacentral:rRNA from 1 species